UCCAUUCCCGAUACUUAGUGCAGCCC
rnacentral:sRNA from 1 species